rnacentral:rRNA from 1 species
UACAGAGGGGGCAAGCGUUGUUCGGAAUUACUGGGCGUAAAGGGCGCGUAGGUGGCCCGCUAAGUCGAACGUGAAAUCCCCGAGCUCAACUCGGGAACUGCGUCCGAUACUGGUGGGCUUGAAUCCGGGAGAGGGAUGCGGAAUUCCAGGUGUAGCGGUGAAAUGCGUAGAUAUCUGGAGGAACACCGGUGGCGAAGGCGGCAUCCUGGACCGGCAUUGACGCUGAGGCGCGAAAAGCUAGGGGAGCAAACGGGG